rnacentral:rRNA from 1 species
CCUACGGGAGGCAGCAGUGGGGAAUCUUGGACAAUGCGGCCAAGCGUGAUCCAGCCCUGCCGCGUGCAGGAUGAAGCCCUUCGGGUUGUAAAAUGCUUUUGUUCGGAACGAAAUGACUCUUUUUAAUAAGGGGGGUUAAUGACGGUACCGGAAGAAUAAGCCCCGGCUAACUUCGUCCAGCAGCCGCGGUAAUACGUAGGGUGCAAGCGUUAAUCGGAAUUACUGGGCGUAAAGCGUGCGCAGGCGGUUAUAUAAGUCAGAUGUGAAAUCCCCGGGCUCAACCUGGGAAUUGCAUUUGUGACUGCAUGUCUAGAGUACGGCAGAGGGGGGUGGAAUUCCGCGUGUAGCAGUGAAAUUCGUAGAUAUUCGGAGGAACACCGAUGGCGAAGGCAAUCCCCUGGUCCUGUACUGACGCUCAUGCACGAAAGCGUGGGGAGCAAACAGGAUUAGAUACCCUGGUAGUCCACGCCCUAAACGAUGUCA